rnacentral:tRNA from 1 species
AAGGCUUUAGCUUAAUUAAAGUGUUUGAUUUGCAUUCAUAAGAUGUGGGUUAAUGUCCCGCAAGUCUUA